UGCAUGGCACAUGCGUUCUUCAGGUACGGUGAUCUCAUUGCACCAAACCUGCACUCAUCUGUUAAAAGAAGAGCCUCUCCAGCCCACCAGUCGCCUUUCUACUCGAUGCCUCUGCAGCAGCAGAGGAUGCGGCAAAUCUAGACACUAGACUAUUCUCAAGAAGCCUUCUGAUGACUGUUCUAAAGCUCACCCGUUCAUUAAGAGCCAUUUGAGUUUGACUAGCUAUCGAGAAGAGAAUGACGGUUCCGUAGAGAGCAGCCUUAUACGAGGGGACCACACCAAGCCAGCAUACUCCAGAACACUCCUAACCAAAGACAGUGCUAGGGGGUCACCUAAGGACACGUUUAGGUGGGACAAAUGCCCCCUUCCAUCACAGAAGGUAGGUGAAUUAAAUUUCGGGCUAAUAAAGAGAUGGCUCCUGAUCUCUGCAGCGGACUGAUCCUAGCUUCUCUAACUGGUUAAACCGUAAGUCCUUUUUGUCUUCACCGAUUAAGCUCCUCCGUUCGCUCAAUUAUCAAUUAUUAAUUAUUAA